rnacentral:rRNA from 1 species
AAGCGUUAAUCGGAAUUACUGGGCGUAAAGAGUGCGCAGGCGGUUAAGUAAGACAGAUGUGAAAUCCCCGGGCUCAACCUGGGAACUGCAUUUGUGACUGCAUAGCUUGAGUGCGGCAGAGGGGGAUGGAAUUCCGCGUGUAGCAGUGAAAUGCGUAGAUAUGCGGAGGAACACCGAUGGCGAAGGCAAUCCCCUGGGCCUGCACUGACGCUCAUGCACGAAAGCGUGGGGAGCAAACAGG